UACGGGGGGAGCAAGCGUUGUUCGGAUUUACUGGGCGUAAAGGGCGCGUAGGCGGCCAGCACAAGUCAGUUGUGAAAUCUCCGAGCUUAACUCGGAAAGGUCAACUGAUACUGUGCGGCUAGAGUGCGGCAGAGGGAGGUGGAAUUCCACGUGUAGCAGUGAAAUGCGUAGAGAUGUGGAGGAACACCGAUGGCGAAGGCAGCCUCCUGGGCCGACACUGACGCUGAGGGCACGAAAGCGUGGGGAGCAAACAGG
rnacentral:rRNA from 1 species